GGCUCGUUGGUUUAGUGGUAUGAUUCUUGCUUCAAGUGCGAGAGGUCCAGGGUUCAAAUCCCAGACAAGCCC